rnacentral:rRNA from 1 species
GACGAACGCUGGCGGCGUGCCUAACACAUGCAAGUCGAACGGAAAGGCCCUGCUCUUGUGGGGUGCUCGAGUGGCGAACGGGUGAGUAACACGUGAGUAACCUGCCCUUGUCUUUGGGAUAACUUCAGGAAACUGGGGCUAAUACCGGAUAGGAGCUCCUGCAGCAUGGUGGGGGUUGGAAAGUUUCGGCGGUUGGGGAUGGACUCGCGGCUUAUCAACUUGUUGGUGGGGUAGUGACUUACCAAGGCUUUGACGGGUAGCCGGCCUGAGAGGGGGACCGGCGACCAUGGGCCUACGGGACGGCGCAGACGGCUACGUGAGGCAACGGGGGGGAGUAUUGCACAGUAAGCGGGAGCCUGAGACGACGGCGCCGCGUGCGUGAUGACGUCCUUCGGGCUGAGAACCGCUUUCGCCUGAGACGAAGCGUGAGUGACGGUAAUGAAUAAAGAAGCACCGGCUAACUACGUG